GGCCGUGACCGUAGUUCUACUCAUCCGGAUGUUUGUUAAGUGCAUCAGAAAACAACAGAGAGAUGAUUCUAAUGUUAAACCGAAACAAGAGAAUGAGGAGCAGGAUGGUGAAACGGUGAACUACGCUGCUCUACACUUUAAUAAGAAAAACAAGAGAUCAGAGAGAAAUGUAAAUGUGGAUCCAAAUGUUAUAUAUUCUACUGUGAGUAACAUCCAGUAAAUUACUGAUGGAUUGUGAUUAGUUUUGUGUGUUUGAACAGAUACAUAAUUCUACAUUAUUAUAACCAGCUGUAGUGUCAGCUGAAAGCA